CCUACGGGAGGCUGCAGUGAGGAAUAUUGGUCAAUGGGCGCGAGCCUGAACCAGCCAUGUAGCGUGAAGGAUGACUGCCCUACGGGUUGUAAACUGCUUUUAUAAAGGAAUAAACGCAGGCACGCGUGCCUUUUUGUAUGUACUUUAUGAAUAAGGAUCGGCUAACUCCGUGCCAGCAGCCGCGGUAAUACGGAGGAUUCGAGCGUUAUCCGGAUUUAUUGGGUUUAAAGGGUGCGUAGACGGUUUGAUAAGUCAGUGGUGAAAUUUUGAGGCUCAACCUUAAAAUUGCAAUUGAUACUGGUCGUCUUGAGAAUAGUUGAGGUAGGCGGAAUGCGUGGUGUAGCGGUGAAAUGCUUAGAGAUCACGCAGAACACCGAUUGCGAAGGCAGCUUACUAAGCUGCCACUGACAUUGAUGCUCGAAAGUGUGGGUAGCAAACAGGAUUAGAUACCCUAGUAGUC
rnacentral:rRNA from 1 species